rnacentral:rRNA from 1 species
GAUGAACGCUAGCGGCAGGCUUAACACAUGCAAGUCGAGGGGUAGAAGCAGCUUGCUGCUUUGAGACCGGCGCACCGGUGCGUAACGCGUAUGCAAUCUACCUUUUACAGAGGGAUAGCCCAGAGAAAUUUGGAUUAAUACCUCAUAGUAUGUGAGAAUCGCAUGGUUUUCACAUUAAAGUUCCAACGGUAAAGAUGAGCAUGCGUCCCAUUAGCUAGAUGGUAAGGUAACGGCUUACCAUGGCGACGAUGGGUAGGGGUCCUGAGAGGGAGAUCCCCCACACUGGUACUGAGACACGGACCAGACUCCUACGGGAGGCAGCAGUGAGGAAUAUUGGACAAUGGGCGCAAGCCUGAUCCAGCCAUGCCGCGUGCAGGAUGACGGUCCUAUGGAUUGUAAACUGCUUUUGUACAGGAAGAAACACUCCCCUCGUGAGGGGAGCUUGACGGUACUGUAAGAAUAAGGAUCGGCUAACUCCGUG